UUUUUUUUUUUUUUUUUUAAUCAUUUACUAGACUGUUUGGUUUGCUGAGAAACCUGCUGGUAAGGUUUCACCGCAGAUUAAGAUCUUUGAUUUAUAGCAUGCAUAGCACUUUGCAGCUCCCUCACACAGUUCCACACUCUCCAUCUGCCUAGGACCAAAAGUAAUAAACAUCUCCUUUUGACUAACUCAUUGCCAUUGCUGUAAGAAGUGUGUAUUGAGGCUAAGUGCAUGUAAUCUAGAACUACAGAGCAAAGGCGGAGGCAGAGGCAGGAUGGCCUCAUGUUCAAGGCAGUUGGGCUAAGUAAUAUAACAGCAUUAGAGCGAAAAAAAAGCCACAAAUGUAUUUUUAUCCUAAAUGUUCAUGUGUGUGUGUGUAAGCCCGGGGAAAGCUCUCCUAGUGCUGUGUCAGCGGUGGCCAUCUUUAUGUGGAUACUAGUCCUCAGGCUACCCAGCAGGCACAUCCACUAUUUGAGAUUUGCAGUGUUCUCUCCUCUUUCAUCUUAAAUAGUUUUGUUUCUCUGUUUGUGUGUAGACAAGGCUCCAUCCACCAUGUAGUCUUGGCUGGCGUAGAACUUGCUAUGUAGACUAGGAUGGCCUUUAACUUGAGCUCACUGCCUCCUGAGUGCUGGGGUAGAAGACAUGAAUCAUCACACCCGGCAAAAUGUAUUUUCUUAAAUUCAACCUUAGUUUUUAAAUUUUAUUUUAUUUUUAAAAUAAUUUAUUAAUUUUUAUUUUAUGUGUAUUUUAGAUUGCAAUGUUUGAAAAAUAAAAUUUCUCUUUUCUAGUUUGGAUACUUUACAUGUAAACAUUAGCAUUUUAGUUUGAUUUUUCUUAAUUUUGUGUAUACAUGAUGUAUAUGUGUGUGUGCUUAUGUAUCUCUGCAUGUGGAGGAUGAAGAAAACUUUAUGGAGUCAGUUCUCGUCUUCUACGUGUAAAUGGGUUCCUGGGGUUGAGCUGAGGUCACAGGCUAUACAAGAAGUACUUUACUGGCACACUGAGCCAUCUCUGCAGCCCAGCACUUAGCCCUCCCCUUUCCCUCCCUCUCCCCCUCUCUUUCUUUCUAAUUCUCAUCCCAUCCAUCCCUCUACCUCCAGCAUUUCUUUAAAAAUCUUUUUAGCAGCCAGGCGGUGGUGGCGCACACCUUUAAUCCCAGCACUCGGGAGACAGAAGCAGGCGGAUUUCUGUGUUCGAGGCCAGCCUGGUCUACAGAGUGAGUUCCAAGGACAGCCUGGGCUAUACAGAGAAACCCUGUCUCGACAAAACAAAAAAGACAAAACAAACCCCCCCCCC
rnacentral:lncRNA from 1 species